UAAGCGGAGGAAAAGAAACUAACAUGGAUUCCCCUCGUAGCGGCGAGCGAAGCGGGAAGAGCUCAAAUUUAUAAUCUGGCACCUUCGUUGUCCGAGUUGUAAUCUCUAGAAGUGUUUUCCGCGUUGGACCGCACACAAGUCUGUCGGAAUACAGCCGCAUAGUGGUGAAACCCCCGUCUAUGGUGCGGACGCCCAGUGCUUUGUGAUACACUUUCAAUGAGUCGAGUCGUUUGGGAAUGCAGCUCAAAUUGGGUGGUAAAUUCCAUCUAAAGCUAAAUAUUGGCGAGAGACCGAUAGCGAACAAGUACCGUGAGGGAAAGAUGAAAAGCACUUUGGAAAGAGAGUUAACAGUACGUGAAAUUGUUGGAAGGGAAACGCUCGAAGUCAGACUUGCUUGCCGGAGCUUGCUUCGGUUUGCAGGCCAGCAUCAGUUUUCCGGGGUGGAUAAUGACGGUUUGAAGGUAGCAGUCUCGGCUGUGUUAUAGCUUUCCGUUGGAUACAUCCUGGGGGACUGAGGAACGCAGCGUGCUUUUGCGAAAGACUCG
rnacentral:rRNA from 1 species